CUUUUAAAAGAUUGAGGUUUAGUUAACAUUAAUGUGGGUUUAGUUCUUAUAAAUAAUAAAAAUUGAAUUAGUUACUUUAGGGAUAACAGCGUAAUAAUCUCGGAAAGUUCAUAUUUAUGGAGUAGAUUGCGACCUCGAUGUUGAAUUAAAAUAAUCUUAGUGGAGUAGAAGCUAUUUGAGAGGGUUUGUUCAACCUUUAAAUUUUUACAUGAUCAGAGAUCAGACCGGA
rnacentral:rRNA from 1 species